rnacentral:rRNA from 1 species
GACGAACGCUGGCGGCGUGCCUAACACAUGCAAGUGGAGCGACGAACCGGGCUUCGGCCCGGGGCAAAGCCGCGAACGGGUGAGUAACACGUGGGUAACCUGCCCUGAUGAUUGGGACAACCCGAGGAAACUCGGGCUAAUACCGAAUGUGCCCUCCGGCCAUAAGGCCGCUGGGGAAAGGAAGCUUCGGCCUCCGCAUCGGGAUGGGCCCGCGGCCCAUUAGCUUGUUGGCGAGGUAAAGGCUCACCAAGGCGACGAUGGGUAGCUGGUCUGAGAGGACGAUCAGCCACACUGGGACUGAGACACGGCCCAGACUCCUACGGGAGGGCAGCAGUGGGGAAUCUUGCGCAAUGGCCGAAAGGCUGACGCAGCGACGCCGCGUGUGGGAGGACGCC